rnacentral:rRNA from 1 species
AUGUCGACGGCCAUCCGCAAGCGCCCGGCGGAGGGACAAGAACUGCGCGUCCAUGGCGGCAAGAAGCCCCGAUACGCGUUUGGAAGCAUCUCCGACUACAAGAAGCUUGAGGUGCUUGGAGAAGGCACCUACGGCGAGGUGUUCAAGGCGCGUGACCGCCGCACCGGCAAGAAAGUCGCCGUGAAGUGGGUCCGCGGCAACGGGGCCGGCAGGCACGGCCCGCCCGACAUCCGCGCGAUCACGCGCGAGGCCGGCUGCCUCGCGGCGUGCCGGGGUCACGAGUUGAUUAUCGAGAUCUUGGAUGUGGCGACGGACGCCAAGACAGGGGAUGUGUUCCUCGUCAUGGAGCUCGUCGCCGACGGCCGCACCCUGCGCGAGUCACUCUGGAGGCCUGUAUCCGAGGAGGGGACCCGCGUGAUGAUGGAGCAGCUCCUGGACGCGGCCAGGAAGAUACAUGGAGCCGGCGUCAUCCAUCGGGACUUUAAGCCGGAGAACGUCAUGGUCGGCUUCUUCGGCGGGCUCAAGGUUGGUGACUUUGGGUCGGCGAUGCGGGCGAAGCCGGACGGAGUGCCCUAUGAGGAGUGCUGCGUCGGCACCCUGAUUUACACCUCGCCGGAGCAGCUGGAAGGCAACCGGUACUACGGCCAGGCCGUGGACAUGUGGGCGCUUGGGUGCAUCAUGGCGGAGAUGUUGACCGGCGGGACCCUCUUCGUGGCGGAGACAGAGGAGGAGCUGCUCGCCGAGAUGUACAAGCUGCGAGACCAUAUCACUUCUACGGGGAAGCUGGAUUUGGAGUUCUUGGAGGAGCUUUCAGAAGCCGGGCGUGAGGUCCUGACCGGCCUGCUUGCCUUCAACCCCGACGAGAGGUUGACGGCGGCGGAAGCGCUCGAGCACCGGUGGUUCAGCAAGCCCAAGGCAGCAGAGCACCCUGGCUUUGUGUCGCUGAUGAGUUAA